rnacentral:rRNA from 1 species
UACGAAGGGGGCUAGCGUUGCUCGGAAUUACUGGGCGUAAAGGGUGCGUAGGUGGUUCGGCAAGUCUUAUGUGAAAUCUACAGGCUCAACUUGUAGUCUGCAUGAGAAACUGCCGGGCUUGAGUAUGGGAGAGGUGAGUGGAAUUCCUGGUGUAGCGGUGAAAUGCGUAGAUAUCAGGAGGAACACCUGUGGCGAAAGCGGCUCACUGGACCAUAACUGACGCUGAUGCACGAAAGCUAGGGGAGCAAACAGG